rnacentral:rRNA from 1 species
AGUUUGAUCCUGGCUCAGGAUGAACGCUGGCGGCGUGCCUAACACAUGCAAGUCGAACGAAGACUGCGCGGCGGAACUCUCCGGAGGGAAGAUGCGCAGGACUGAGUGGCGGACGGGUGAGUAACGCGUGGGUAACCUGCCCUGUACAGGGGGACAACAGCUGGAAACGGCUGCUAAUACCGCAUAAGCCUACAGUGCCGCAUGGUACAGCAGGAAAAACUCCGGUGGUACAGGAUGGGCCCGCGUCUGAUUAGUUAGUUGGCAGGGUAACGGCCUACCAAGACAACGAUCAGUAGCCGGCUUGAGAGAGUGGACGGCCACAUUGGGACUGAGACACGGCCCAAACUCCUACGGGAGGCAGCAGUGGGGAAUAUUGCACAAUGGGGGGAACCCUGAUGCAGCAACGCCGCGUGAGUGAAGAAGUAUUUCGGUAUGUAAAGCUCUAUCAGCAGGGAAGAAAAUGACGGUACCUGACUAAGAAGCUCCGGCUAAAUACGUG